rnacentral:rRNA from 1 species
AUUGAACGCUGGCGGCAGGCCUAACACAUGCAAGUCGAACGAGUGGCGGACGGGUGAGUAAUGUCUGGGAAACUGCCUGAUGGAGGGGGAUAACUACUGGAAACGGUAGCUAAUACCGCAUCCCAUCAGAUGUGCCCAGAGGGGAUUAGCUAGUUGGUGGGGUAACGGCUCACCUAGGCGACGAUCCCUAGCUGGUCUGAGAGGAUGACCAGCCACACUGGAACUGAGACACGGUCCAGACUCCUACGGGAGGCAGCAGUGGGGAAUAUUGCACAAUGGGCGCAAGCCUGCUGCAGCCAGGUCGCGUGUAUGAAGAAGGCCUUCGGGUUGUAAAGUACUGUCAGCGGGGAGGCGUUACCCGCAGAAGAAGCACCGGCUAACUCCGUGCCAGCAGCCGCGGUAAUAC